CCUACGGGGGGCAGCAGUGAGGAAUAUUGGUCAAUGGACGAGAGUCUGAACCAGCCAAGUAGCGUGAAGGAUGACUGCCCUAUGGGUUGUAAACUUCUUUUAUAUGGGAAUAAAAUGUUCCACGUGUGGGAUUUUGUAUGUACCAUAUGAAUAAGGAUCGGCUAACUCCGUGCCAGCAGCCGCGGUAAUACGGAGGAUCCGAGCGUUAUCCGGAUUUAUUGGGUUUAAAGGGAGCGUAGGCGGAUUGUUAAGUCAGUUGUGAAAGUUUGCGGCUCAACCGUAAAAUUGCAGUUGAAACUGGCAGUCUUGAGUACAGUAGAGGUGGGCGGAAUUCGUGGUGUAGCGGUGAAAUGCUUAGAUAUCACGAAGAACUCCGAUUGCGAAGGCAGUUCACUGGACUGCAACUGACACUGAGGCUCGAAAGUGUGGGUAUCAAACAGGAUUAGAUACCCUUGUAGUC
rnacentral:rRNA from 1 species